GUGCAGGAAUUUGGGAGGAGGAUUUACAGGGAAAUGCAAGGGCCGGGGCAAGGCCCCAUUUGGAGCAUGCUGCCACAUUGGAGGAAGAGCAGGAAGUGUGAGUGGUUGGAAGGGAGAGCACAAGGAAAUGAGUACAGCCAAGUAGGGAGAUGACUGUGCCAGCCCUGGACGCCACUCCAAGGACCUGCAGCUUUGUUCCCAACCGGUGGUUUGGUUUACAAGGAUCAUGAUGGUCCCUGGGCGGGAUGAGCAGGAGAGGGCACAGUGGAAGCAGGGAGCCCAGUUAGCUGAGAGUUGACAGCGACAGAGUGGUGGAAGCAGUGUGCUGGGCUGUGGCCUGACCUUGGGGAGAUUUUGAAGGUAGACCUGAGCAGAAGUACCAAAGGGUGGAUGUGGGAUGCGGAGAAAGCAGAAGCCAGAAAACUACUUGGCUUUGAGCUGCUGGGAGAUGGGGUCAAGCCAAGUGAUGGGGAGGGUUGCAGGUGGGACAGAUUAGGGAGAUGAUCAGAGACCUCCCUUUUACAUUUUCAGUCCUGAUUUUCUGUGGCUCCCAAAUGGAUCGGACUUUGCCAACCCCUCCUUAUCACCUUGUCCUUGUUUUCUUCUUCAUCCACUGGCAAGUCCUCAGCACCACAGAUGGUUUGACCACUUGCACCAGAUUGUGAUGUCAUAUUCCAGGCUCUGUGGAAGCCUUCCUCUCCUCUCACUCCCGCCCUAGGUGACUUCUCCCAGGCCCCCAGCUCUGUUCCAGUCUAGUGAUUCCCCAGUGGCCCCUUCAGUCCCAACCACCUGUCUGGGGUUUGCACCUUGUGCCUGGACUCAAAGCUUCUGCCUCACACACAGCACUUCCACCGCUGCCCUCUGGUCUGUUUCCAGACGUGCUCUUCCUCCAGGUUUGCCAUCUCAGUGAUGGGUACCCCAUCAGCAAGCCAUACUCACCUUGAAGGAACCAGGCAAGAAGAUGACAGAGAGACCCAGCCCUCGCCUGGAUGCUGACCUCACCAUCAUUUCUCCUCCACGCCUCAUCUUUGGUGCACAGGCCCAAGCUGCGGCCUCUGAGCCUGAGGAGACGAAGAGGACACUGCUCAGGUGUGGAUGGCCCGCAUGGAAUACAAAGGGACAGAAGGGAGCUGCUUCACUUCACUGCUUUGCUGCCUUCUGCCUGCCAUGAGCUGUUUCUCCUCUUCAAAGGCCCUCUGCCCUGCCACCCUGCCUCAGAGGUAGACAAUGACAGACUUAAACCUCUGCAAACUAUAAGCCACAAUAAACCUUGCCUCCUUUAAUUUUGGGUGUCAAGUAUUUUGUCUCAGCAAUGAGAAAAGUAACUAAGACAGCAUCACUGCUGCUCUCCGCUGGCACACGAAUUGAGUUAUUUGAUGUACACGCUGUCCGUGUCCUUUAGCUUCAGAUGGAGCUGGAAGUGUUCUCUCCUUUCCCUUGACUGACUUCCCUCAACCCCAUUCCAGUCUCCCUGG